rnacentral:rRNA from 1 species
AUUGAACGCUGGCGGCAGGCCUAACACAUGCAAGUCGAACGAGUGGCGGACGGGUGAGUAAUGUCUGGGAAACUGCCUGAUGGAGGGGGAUAACUACUGGAAACUGUAGCUAAUACCGCAUACCAUCGGAUGUGCCCAGGUGGGAUUAGGUAGUAGGUGGGGUAACGGCUCACCUAGGCGACGAUCCCUAGCUGGUCUGAGAGGAUGACCAGCCACACUGGAACUGAGACACGGUCCAGACUCCUACGGGAGGCAGCAGUGGGGAAUAUUGCACAAUGGGCGCAAGCCUGAGGCAGCCAUGCCGCGUGUGUGAAGAAGGCCUUCGGGUUGUAAAGCACUUUCAGUGGGGAGGCGUUACCCGCAGAAGAAGCACCGGCUAACUCCGUGCCAGCAGCCGCGGUAAUAC